UAGUGGAUUGCCAUGCAAAUGCACACUUUAUGGUGGUAUACUGUUGCAGUAUUGAGACAGUGAUCAGUAAGUCUUUAUGGCUUUCUACAAGAUUUGGGAUGCCUCUCGAGUGACUAAAAAGAUGCUGCCUGGCUCGGUAAAGACGGUUGAGGAUUUGAGCAACUUGGAGUCUCUUCACCAGCAAUCUGAGCCAGCGAAUCCGUCAUGUGCGAUGGAAAGAUAAGAAGAAGACCAAUAGUGAGGAUGAAAGUGAAACACCACCAGGGAAGAAACGGGCCAUCAUUCGGGAAGGCCACACUGACCAUGAUGCAACCCUCUCCGAGGAAGAUUACCAGACCCACUUGAAAGAGCUGCAGUCCGAGUGGGAGAAACCCAACAAGACCGUAGCGCACAUCAGGACUCUCCUGCGGGAAACAUUCCCGAACAACCAGGGAUUCAUCAAGGGGAUGCCUGAUGGUCAAGUAGCCGCCGUUUUGGAAAAGAUACCCUGUUACAGAGAGGGUAUAUAUGUUGAGUCGUGACUUCAAGAGGCUUAUUUCCGAGAAGCAGUAUAAAGAAGUUUACGCACGUCUACCCAUCUUGUGUUCAGCGAUUGAAAAGAUAGCCAAAACAAAUUUGUCAGAGAAUUCCCCGCAAGUUAAAGUUUGGUGGCUGUUGUCAAGUAACAUCGAAGAGUCAGACAAAACUGGACAGGGGAAAGGGG